rnacentral:rRNA from 1 species
GUGCCAGCAGCCGCGGUAAUACGUAGGGGGCAAGCGUUGUCCGGAAUUAUUGGGCGUAAAGCGCGCGCAGGCGGCCUUGUCAGUCUGGUGUAUAAGCCUUGGGCUCAACCGAAGGACGCACCGGAAACUGCAAAGCUUGAGUGCAGAAGAGGAAAGUGGAAUUCCACGUGUAGCGGUGAAAUGCGUAGAGAUGUGGAGGAACACCAGUGGCGAAGGCGACUUUCUGGGCUGUAACUGACGCUGAGGCGCGAAAGCGUGGGGAGCAAACAGGAUUAGAAACCCCGGUAGUCC